AAACUGAAAAUUCAUACCUGUCAGGAUGUAGUAUUAUGUUUAUAAAGAAGUACGUGCUCCAGCGACUUUUUCUAGACAAUCCGCUUUAUUAUUCGCCUCUCUUUGCAAGUUGCAUGAAGUUGUUGUAAUCAAAAGUUUCGGGGGUGGCCAUAUGUAAGAUAUCCUCGAGGUCUAUAUUAUUAUGGUUAAAUGACUCCAUUAUCGAGUUUCUCGAGGUAGUAUUUGUUUUUUUAUAGAGGGUUUCUAUACGACUAUACUUUUGAGUCUGAGUCUCCAUGGUUCUUAUUUCUUUGUUUGUUAAAUCAUUGUUUGGGCAAAUCUCCAAAAUAGCACCUUUCUAAGUUUAUAUCACAAAAAUAGCACUCAAAAACUAAAAUGACCAAAAUAGCACAUUUCUAAGUUUAUCCUUUGAAAAUUUUAAUUUUUUUUAUUUUUCAAAAUUUGAAAUCUUAUCCCCAAAACCUCAUUUCUCAACUCUAAACCCUAAAUCCUAAACUCUAAACCCUAAACCCUAAAAUCUAAACUCUAAACCCUAAAAUCUAAACCCUAAACCCUAAACUCUAAACCCUAAACCCUAAACCCUAAAUCCUAAACCCCACCCUUUAACUUUAAACCAUAAGUUUGUGACUUUUGAUAAAACAUUAAGUGUUAUUUUUGUGA
rnacentral:lncRNA from 1 species